GGGGAUGAUGAUUUUACAUACUACAGUCUCUGACACUGGUACUGAUGUCAAAAAUAAGUUCCGACUU
ensembl:snoRNA